GAUGAAGAACGUAGUGAAAUGCGAUAAGUAAUGUGAAUUGCAGAAUUCAGUGAAUCAUCGAAUCUUUGAACGCACCUUGCGCCCUUUGGCCAUUCCGAAGGGCAUGCCUGUUUGAGUAUCAUGAACACCUCAACUCUUCAUGGUUUUCCGUGAUGAGCUUGGACUUUGGGGGUCUUGCUGGCCUAUGGUCAGCUCCUCUAAAAUAAAUCAGCUUGCCAGUGUUUGGUGGGUAUCACAGGUGUGAUAACUAUCUACGCUUGUGGUUUUCCACCAGGUAACCUUCAGCAGUGGAGGUUCGCUGGAGCUCACAGAUGUGUCUCUCCUCAGUGAGGACAGCUCUUUGAAUGUUUGAUCUCAAAUCAGGUAGGACUACCCGCUGAACUUAAGCAUAUCAAUAAGCGGAGGA
rnacentral:misc_RNA from 1 species